rnacentral:rRNA from 1 species
AAUUAAAAAUUUAUUUAUUUUUGUUUUAAAAGGUUUAUUUAAUAAAAAUAAUUUUAUUAUUUUUUGUAUAUUUUAUAGAUAAAAUAAUUGUUAUAAUAGUUUAUUUGUAUUGAAAAAGAAUAUUGAAAUAUGUUGAAAAUUUAAUUUUUUUAAAGUAAAAUUUAUUUUUUGUACCUUUUGUAUCAGGGUGUAUUAAAAAUAUAUUAAUUAUUUAAUUUUCUCGAAUUUAAAAGAUCUAAUAUUUUAAUAAAUUUAUUGUUAUAUAAAUAUUUUUAAUAGAAUAUUAGUAAUGAAAUGUUUUUCGUUUUUAAAAAUAUCUAGUUAUUUAAGAAAUGAAUUUAAUUUAGAAAUUUAGUUUUUAUAAUUUAAUUUUUUAAUUUAUUAUAAUUAAAUUUUUAUAAUAUAAGGGAUAAGCUUUAUAUUAAAUUUUAUAAUUAUUAUAUUUAAUAAACAAUUUAUAAGCUUAGAAAUAGUUAUUAAAAAAAAAUUUGUUUUAAUUUAUUUAUUUAUAAGUAUUAUUUUUUAUAUUUUUAAUUUAGAUUUUUUAUUAAACUAUUUGUUUUAAUUUUUUUUAUAAAGGAAUAAUGGUAUAAUUAGUAAUUUUUUUUGUUAUUUAAUUUUUUUUAUUUAGAUUAAAUAAAGGAAUUCGGCAAAUAUAAUGCUCGCCUGUUUAACAAAAACAUGUCUUUUUGAUUUUAAUUUAAAGUCUAAUCUGCCCACUGAAUUAUUUUAAAGGGCCGCAGUAUUUUGACUGUGCAAAGGUAGCAUAAUCAUUAGUUUUUUAAUUGGAGACUUGUAUGAAUGAUUGGACGAAGUAUUAACUGUCUCUUUUUAAUAAUUAAAUAAAUUUAUUAUUUUAGUAAAAAAACUAAAAUAAAAUUAAAAGACGAGAAGACCCUAUAGAUCUUUAUAUUUAAUUUAUUAUAAAUUUUUAUAAUUAUUAUUUUUUAUAAUAAUUAAAAAUAUUUUAUUGGGGUGAUAUAAAAAUUCAUUAAACUUUUUAUUAUUUUUUACAUUUAUUUUUGAGUACUUGAUCCAUUAUUAUUGAUUAAAAGAUUAAGUUACCUUAGGGAUAACAGCGUAAUUUUAUUAGAGAGUUCUUAUCGAUAAUAAAGAUUGCGACCUCGAUGUUGAAUUAAGAGUAAUUUUAGGUGUAGAAGUUUAAAAUUUUAGUCUGUUCGACUAUUAAAAUCUUACAUGAUUUGAGUUCAAAUCGGCGUAAGCCAGAUUGGUUUCUAUCUUUAAUAAAAAAAUAUAUUUUAGUACGAAAGGACCAAAUAUAUAAAUAAUAUUUUUUAUAUGAAUUUUAUUAAUAUU